CCGGGGUUGUUGUCUUGAAAGACAAAAACGUGUCUAUAUUUGGAUGCGGGAGCGGUGAGGUCAUGAUGAGCCUGCAGCACUGCGCUGCAUGGAGCAUGAAGGAGGUUCUGCUGUCCUACAAGUCCCCGGACGUGGAGUAAAUGUGUCACUUUGUCCACGCGUGUUCCCACUCCAGCAUCUCUGUUUGCUCCUGCAGGAUGAGGUGUCCUCAAACCUGGCGUUACGCGCAGGACUUUUCCUGGUUUGAACCUUUUCACCUGUUGGAUUAUGCAAGAUCGGAAAAGAUAUGGGGAGAAGUGCACCUUUUAGCUCCUCCCUGCUCCUCACACCCCCAGUGAGGGAGGUCACGGCAGCCAAUCGCAUAGAAUCCCGCUCCCGCAUCAAUAGGAGACAGUCAGUGGGCGGAAACUCCGCGUUGCUUGUAUAUAAGGGGAAACGCGUGGGAUGUUUGCGUUGCAAUGAGUUGGGCUGAAAUGCCCGCAUCCUGACCGGGCAGAAGGAGGAGAGAGCACGCGCUGACCGUGAGGCGUGCCCCCCACACACAACAGGCGGUUCAUGAGUUGAUCCCUGAGACCUUUGCUGCCCCCCUCCCUCCCCACGCCGCCAUGGACGUCCACCCUUCCGCAGCAGCAGCAGCAGCCUCGGAGCGGAGCGCUGUCCACCCGCUGUGGUGCUGAACCGGCGCAGGUCACAGACUGACUGAGGGGGGAAACACCGAAACGAGCGCGUGCGCAUGGAUGUGAAAGCGGUCAAUGCGCAGACAGACACAAACAUCGAAAGGAUGGAUCGACUCCCCCCCGCCCUCGGCCUCGAUCCCGCGGUCUGAGCACCCCCCCUCCCCGCCUCGCACCGGAACUCAGCGCAGCUUCCGCAGUUGAGGAGAGCGACCGAUCAGAGAGGUACGCGCUGCGUCUCAUGCACGAGGAUAAAUGGGGGAAGCGGUUGAAUAGAUUGAGGGUUUUUAUGCAGAUGGACGAUGGGCUGCAUCAGCUCCAAAGCGCCUGUUGGUAAGAUCUCAUCUCAUUUGCCCUCCAGAAAAAAAACUUGAAGGAAGCCUGUUUUUUCUUGUUUUUUUCUGGCAUUUGUUUUGCUGCAGCCUUCAUUUGGGGGUGGGUGGGGGUGCUUGCAGCGCACAGCAUGCUGUGCCUGAAAUGAUGAUGUACAGACAACAGCUUUGCUGCCUCAGAGGGCAGACGUGCCAUCCUCUCCAAAUGCGGCUGAAGCAGAAGCAGUGGGACGGUGUGCACGUGCGCGGAUGUGUCUUGUAGGAGUUGAGGGGAAGGGAUUCUGCAGCCUAAACAUCGCGAUGCGACGAGAGUUGCAAGAAGCUUGUUGGUGAACACGCCAGUCAAGCUUUUGACUCCAUCCAUGCAGGCGCUGCGCGCUUCGAUUCGCUGCGUGAAGCCUCAGCACCGACACCAUGGUUCUGACCGCGCUGACACACUUUAGCUGCAAGGUAGGGACGCUUCUGCAAACUAUUAAGUGACCACUCUCUCAUGUGGCAUCCGAGACGUGUGCGUGGAAUUUUCAAAAUAAACAGGCGCUGUUGCUGCGUUUGCGCGUUCACCCGUCUCUGCGCUCUCGCCAAACAGUGACGCGAGACUCCCCGUCGCUGGACCGACUCUCCUCUGCAGCCAGUAGGUCAAAUCCUGACCCACAUCCAUCGAGCCCACCCUCACCCGCAGACAUGGAGGAUUCUGUUUCAUCGUUCUGUUCAGUCUGAGCUCCGAUCCAACCGCUCUGCGCUCACAGGUCACCCGCCUUGAACGGAUCUCGUGUCACUAAUAUCGCCUUCUCCUCGAAGGACAUGCCUCGUGGGCUCGUGGAGCCUCGAGGAGCCGUUUCCACAGCCACCUGUUUGCCUCCUAUCUCCCCCAUCUUUCCUGCUAAGUGGCCACUCUUGACCUAUUGCGCCAAUUCGUUUAUAAAUCUGCCCCCCCCCCUCCACCUGCAAAAAGUCACGGAGGGAAAAAAAAGGGUAAACGGCGGCGGUCUCUGGAUCUGCAGUUUCCACGACAACGGAAACUACAAGGGAGAAACGGCGCGAGCGAGUGGGAGCCAUGCAGGCCCCCGCGCGCGCAAUUAGCGCAAAGCCUAAAUGCACAAAACAUGAAGACGAUGCUGCAGCCGCGUUUGACAGGGGAUCACAAACACGGAGAUUCAUCAAGAUAACCAGUGAGGCAGCAGCGUCGAAGAGAUCCUUUCUGAAAUGCAACCACUCACUCUUGGAUGUGGAACCGCGACCGCAGAGGCUGACACGUUGCCUGCUCGACUCCUGAGCUCGCUGCAGCUCUUCACGGUGGAAGAAUCUCUGAUUCUGUACGUCACAGAAAUCCCCCAAAAAUAUCAUCUUCUUUUUUUUCACUGUUUGUAAAAGACAGAAGACGCCAAAUCAAAGGGAGAAGAAAACACAUGGAGGAGCCUCUCAUCUUGUUGCUCAUCUGACGUCAUCUGCAUUAUUCACGCAAACACGCAGAGAGGAUUUGUUCCUUGGCGACUGGUUGCCAUGGAAAUGUUCCAACUCAGGAAAACUUAACGUGGACCAUGAGUGAAAACAGGGAAGAAAAAGCAAUGAGUGACAGAAAAUGUGGUGGAGGGAGGUGGCGCUCAGGCUCUUGGCAUAUGUAGAUUUGGGUCCAGUCUGCUGAAGUCAGUCUGGAGCUGGUUUCAAGAGAAAAGACCUCUGAGCACAGAGAUUUCUGUUGAUGUUUGCCAAAUAAACAGUUUCCCUGUGA